UCUCAAAGUGAACAUUUGAUUGCACACAAGUCACAGCAAUUACUACCGAACACCACAAUGGAGCAGGGUGAAACCAGCAUUGGGUGAUCUGUGCAUGAUGGUAAACAUCAUUUUACAGCAUAACCUUUAUAUUGAACAAUCAAAUAAUUUGUACGUACACCAUAAAAAAUACCAAAAUUUGGUCAUAUCAACUUUACAGAAGGCACGUUAUAACUAUACAGUACUUGAGCGCAGUGUUAAGUUUAGAGGACAAGUGAAAACCACAGAUAGGAUUUCACAAAGUCUCAAAGUCUCUCACUGAAUAAACAUAGGCUUAAAGUACUGAAAAUGUGACAGCAGAAUGUGGUGGUGGUUUACAAGGUCUAUGCUGAGAAUUGGGAUGAAGGACAAAGUGGUAAUUCAGUCUUUUCAAACCACCACUGUACCUGAACCACUUUCAAAAGAAGACCUAAGCCAUUUGGACAACAAGCCUAAGAAUAGACCGCAGCAAAGGGGGAACAAACUUCCUAUCAAUACCAUUUCAGAAGAAACACUGAACAAACAGUGAAUAAAGAUUCUGAUCCUGACACAGAGGAACCGAGCUUCACCUUGACAGGGCGUGGCAUCUCAGGAGCCGUUAUGCGCAGGUAGAUCAGACUGCCAAUGGACAGGCCAAUGAAGAGCCAGUAAUUAAAGCUGAAGUAAUUAAUGAGCCGGAACACGUCUCUCUCACAAAGGAAAAGCAAAGCCAUGCCACCCUGGAGAACACACAAACACACAUGCAGAUCUGUGUUGAAGAAUGUGGUUUCUGCUGGGAAAAUGCUACAAAUGAACAUAAAAAGGCAUUUAAAAAGAAAGACAAAUCUUACGACAGACACUCACAUUGAACAACAAAGCUGGGAUAGGUGUGUAGCGCUUAACAUGGAUCAUGGAGAGAAAGUUCGGUAAAUGUCCCUCCCUUGAUCCAACAAAGAACAACCUAACAAAAACAAAAAAACAAAACAAAGCGAAAACAGUUUAGCAGUUUUGAAUGGACAUUUACGAGAUCACUAGCUCACAGUAGGGCUAAGUGUUACCAACUAGCUCACAAUACAAUACUCACAAUAUGCCACGAUUCAGUAUGUCACAAUGAAUUACACCAUCACAACUGGAUGAUGAUGGUUAACACUCAUCUUUCCUCUUGUCAUAUCUUGAUCAUGGCAAAUCCAUAGUAAAUGUUAAGUCAAAUAUUGAAGCUACAAAAGAAGCCCUAAGAGACUUUUGUAGACUGCCAUCUAUAGGUAUGAUGUAGAUAUUAUACCAAUUAAACUACAGUAAUGAUUGUGAACACACAAUCUGUUUUUUUUCCACUAAAUAGACCCCAAAAUGAAUGACAAAUAAUUAUACCGUUUUACAUUCUUUUAAAAAGGUCCUAAAUCUUUACCCUCCCCGUCUCUCUCUCUCAGUACACCUUCAUUUUUCUGAGACACUCUUAUCAAGAGCUGUACUAUGAUGGACAGAUGUUAUGAUAGGAAUCUUGCCUGUCUCCCUGGUCUCCUGUGUGCAGGGCGGAGCCAUUAGCUACUGUACUUUGUGGCAGCUUAAUAUAUCACGUUAUGGGUUCAGGUUUCCUUUUGCUAAUGAGGCUUAAUACGAUGCUUGUCAGUCAAGGAAAGGUGGUUGAACCGCAGUCAUCAGAAAACUCAACUUCCUGCACAGAACUUGCCUCAAUGCAUAUUAAAUAGAUAUAUUCAUGCGUAUUAAGAUUACCAUUGUAUUCACGUUGCCUAAUUUUGUAUCUACAAAACCUUGCAAAUAAAUAAUAAACAUUCAAUACAUUGGGCAGCCA